rnacentral:tRNA from 10 species
UGUCCAGGCUGGUGUGUGCUUGGUCUUCAAAUCUGAU